UCGCGAAAUGCUCUGAAGAGACCUGCUCCAAGAUCGUGUGCGGACCUAUCAACGACACCUGGUGCUUCACUGGGGCACCGCCAUUCGACAGCAAGUGCGAGUGCUGUGACUGGUGCGUCGUCCGAGACCUCGUGUGCGGUAAACGGGCUCGGUCGAUCAGCAGCUCCAAUCCGUACGCCUCCUGCCAGGCCAGUUGCGGACGCCUCUCAUGAGCCACUCGUGAGAUUGCCUACCCUAUGGCUGACGCUUCCCGAGGCAAGACUAUGUUGCGGAGUAAAAGAUAACGUGAAACCUUC